rnacentral:rRNA from 1 species
UUCGGUGAGUGGAAAGUGGCGGACGGGUGAGUAAUGUGUAGAGAAUCUGCCCUUGAGAGGGGGACAACAGCUGGAAACGGUUGCUAAUACCCCAUAUGAGAUAUUUUGCAAUAAAUAUCUUGAAAACUCCGGUGCUCAAGGAUGAGUCUGCAUCUGAUUAGCUAGUUGGGGGUGUAAUGGACCACCAAGGCAACGAUCAGUAGCUGGUUUGAGAGGAUGAUCAGCCACAAUGGGACUGAGACACGGCCCAUACUCC